rnacentral:rRNA from 1 species
AUGGUGGCGCCGCCUUGCCUUCACCACGGUCGCGAGACCCUCCUCCGCGGCCGAUCCUUCCGACACCGAAAAUUGCCGCCGACCCCUACAUCGGCGAUCAACUGCUCCCUCCUCGGCCGCGUCGUCGCCUCCACCCACCAAAACGAUGAGACAGGGGAAGCGGAGAGACAUGGGAAGUGGAGAGGUUAUGGCCACACACACCCGCGUGCGGGGCUCAUGAGAUUCGGCUGGAUAGAACAAGACAAAAUGUUCAAAGCGGCAGGCCUUCUUCACGCCCACCCACCCGUGACCGUGAGCGACAACACCGAACAACUCUGCGUGGGCGGAACCGCUCUAGCACAUCCACGCCGCACGCCGCACGCCUCCCUUCGGCAACACACGCACGCGGCACGCCCAUGCAAAGGAGGUGGAUUAGUGGUCUUUUGGGAUGACUUUUAUACUUUGGAAUUGAACAAAUAUGGAGAUCAUUUUAUUGACAUGUACAUUUGCAAUGGUGCUAGCAGUAAGUGGAGAAACACUUUUGUGUAUGGGGAAAGAAUCAAAGAAUGGACACUUUUCUCGGAUCAAGCGGUCUUUGAACUUAUGGCCAAUUUCCGUGAGAUUCUAUCUGAGUGCAAUUUAUUCGACUUGGGCUUUUACGAAGUUCUUUGGACUUAUAAUAAUAAGCAGGAUGUCAAUAAAAAUGUGAAGGUGCAACUUGACCGAGCGGUGGCGUGCCCACAAUGGUCGUCUAUUUUUCCUAACAGUAAGGUCUUACAUAUUGUCAGCUCCAUGUCAGAUCAUUGUCCUAUUCUUAUUGAAAUGUUGGGGGCUCCUCGCUCCGAAAAAAUUGUUAAACAGUUUAAGUAUGAACCAUACCACGAAAGAGAGGAUGCAACACUGAAAGAUCAGAUCGAAUCGUGUUGGAAUAAUUGUCCGCUCGUGAAUGAUCUGGGAGAUGUGGCAAAUAAUUUGGACAAGAUGAUCAAGUCUCUUCAUGGGUGGAGUAAGGUUCAUAUUAGAUAUCUGCCUAAAAAGCUUGAAUAUGCUUGUAGAAGAUUAAAUGUGUUAUUCAAAAGAAAUGGUUUUAAUGCAAGUGUGGAGAGGAAGAAAAUCCUUGCAGAGAUGGAUGAGCUUCUGAUCAAGGAAGAAAUCAUGUGGAAGCAGAGAUCAUGUUUGAACAAAAUGAAAUGA